AGGGCACCACCAGGAGUGGAGCCUGCGGCUUAAUUUGACUCAACACGGGAAAACUCACCCGGCCCGGACACUGGAAGGAUUGACAGAUUGAGAGCUCUUUCUUGAUUCAGUGGGUGGUGGUGCAUGGCCGUUCUUAGUUGGUGGAGUGAUUUGUCUGGUUAAUUCCGAUAACGAACGAGACUCUAGCCUAUUAAAUAGAUCGUUGGCUUACAAACGCCGGCGAGACUUCUUAGAGGGACAGGCGGCGAUUCAGCCGCACGAAACAGAGCAAUAACAGGGCUGUGAUGCCCUUAGAUGUCCGGGGCCGCACGCGCGCUACACUGAAGUGAUCAGCGUGCAUUUUGAAACCUACUCUGUCAAGAGUGGGGAACCCAAUGAACCUUCUUCGUGAUUGGGAUAGGGGAUUGUAAUUAUUCCCCUUGAACGAGGAAUUCCCAGUAAGCGCGAAUCAUAAGUUUGCGCUGAUUACGUCCCUGCCCUUUGUACACACCGCCCGUCGCUACUACCGAUUGAAUGUUU
rnacentral:rRNA from 1 species